rnacentral:rRNA from 1 species
AAGUUUGUAUCCUCGGCGUCAGGAGUGAACGCUGGCGGCGGUGCUUAACACAUGCAAGUCGAGCGAAGCACUUUCUUCGGAAGUUUUCGGACGGAAGAGGAUUUGACUGAGCGGCGGACGGGUGAGUAACGCGUGGGGAACCUGCCUCAUACAGGGGAAUAACAGAUGGAAACGUCUGCUAAUGCCGCAUAAGCGCACACUGUGGCAUCACAGAGUGUGAAAAACUCCGGUGGUAUGAGAUGGCCCCGCGUCUGAUUAGGCAGUUGGCGGGGUAACGGCCCACCAAACCGACGAUCAGUAGCCGACCUGAGAGGGUGACCGGCCACAUUGGGACUGAGACACGGCCCAAACUCCUACGGGAGGCAGCAGUGGGGAAUAUUGCACAAUGGGGGGAAACCCUGAUGCAGCGACGCCGCGUGGGUGACGAAGUAUUUCGGUAUGUAAAGCCCUAUCAGCAGGGAAGAAGAUGACAGUACCUGACUAAGAAGCCCCGGCUAACUACGUG